rnacentral:rRNA from 1 species
UACGGAGGGUGCAAGCGUUUAUCCGGAUUUACUGGGUUUAAAGGGUGCGUAGGCGGGCUUUUAAGUCAGUGGUGAAAUCUCCGGGCUCAACCCGGAAAUUGCCAUUGAUACUAUUAGUCUUGAAUUAAGUUGAGGUGGGCGGAAUGUGUCAUGUAGCGGUGAAAUGCUUAGAUAUGACACAGAACACCGAUUGCGAAGGCAGCUCGCUAAACUUAUAUUGACGCUGAGGACGAAAAGCGUGGGGAUCAAACAGG